rnacentral:rRNA from 1 species
UACGUAGGUUGCGAGCGUUGUCCGGAAUUAUUGGGCGUAAAGAGCUCGUAGGCGGUGUGUCACGUCGGCCGUGAAAACCUGCAGCUUAACUGUGGGCGUGCGGUCGAUACGGGCAUCACUGGAGUUCGGCAGGGGAGACUGGAAUUCCUGGUGUAGCGGUGAAAUGCGCAGAUAUCAGGAGGAACACCGGUGGCGAAGGCGGGUCUCUGGGCCGAUACUGACGCUGAUGUGCGAAAGCCAGGGGAGCGAACGGG